CGGGAGUACGUUUCCUAACCUUACCGCUUACCGGUUAACAGUUUACGCCCUUCGAUCGCGAUAAACGCAGGUUUUUGCACGGCGAAGAGACCGACCGCGGCCGAGCGUUUCGAUGUAAAAAAAGUCGAAAACAACGACGUGUUCAAGAAACAUCGGUACAGGAUGUGGUUAGGGCGAUUCCAGUCGACACGGUCAUAGGAAGUAGGAUGGUCGGCGGAAAUUCUCCUCCCGAAACCGACUCGUGAACUCGUACGCUUCGUCUGCAUACGUACGUACACAUGUACACACGCGCAUGUACGUGUCAUGUAGUACUACGUACGUGCAUGUUGUAUACACAUAUGUGAGGCUUCUAAAGGCACUGUUCGUUCGCAGUUUGCACUCUCCCUACGUUUCCUACGCUUUCUGUACGGCCGCCGCCGCCGCCGCCGCCACCGCGCCGGUGAAAAGAGCACAACAGUUUACAAGUAGCAGCCAGCACUUAACCACAUCAGCCAGCUCAGGACUGAAGAAACUAUAAAGAAACUAGCGCCGCGUGCGUGAUGCGCCGAUCGCGGAUUAAAGUGGAACGGAACCCUCGGAACGCUUAAUUUUGUGUCUCCUGUUGCGCCGGUAUUGUCACUCAGGCACUUUGUGUUUCUUCAGAGAACUCGUAACUCGUGACUCGUUGCCGUUACCGUUGCUCUUUCAUUCAUUCAUUCAUUCAUUCAUUCAUUCAUUCAUUCAUUCAUUCAUUCAUCUAUCCAUUCAUUCAUUCAUAAUCUAGUGAUUUCCCUCGUUCUUCCUCGUCGUUCUUCCCUUUGUGAUUUAUAUUACAAGUGUCUGAAAGCGCAUUUGAAACGAAGGCCUCUCGCGACUCGCGAAUGAAAGAAGAGGAGCCAAGUGGAAAUCGAUCGAAACGAGUCGAGUGCUUCAGUGAUUCAGUGCGGGAUUCAGUUUGUUGUUGGCCCCUACUCGUCGACCCUUUUGACGAUUGUCACAUUAAACGAAAGUCGUAUCACGAAAACGACGACGUCGGUCACUGUCGAUAUCGUCUUCCUCCUUCAGUGACUGUGCAAAAGAAAAAAAGAAAAAAAAAAAAUUGGAGAACGU